UACGUAGGUGGCAAGCGUUGUCCGGAUUUACUGGGCGUAAAGAGCGCGCAGGCGGUCGUUUAAGUCGAAUGUGAAAGCCCCCCGGCUCAACUGGGGAGGGUCAUUCGAUACUGAUCGACUUGAAGGCAGGAGAGGGAAGUGGAAUUCCGGGUGUAGUGGUGAAAUGCGUAGAUAUCCGGAGGAACACCAGUGGCGAAGGCGACUUCCUGGCCUGUUCUUGACGCUGAGGCGCGAAAGCUGGGGGAG
rnacentral:rRNA from 1 species